ensembl:lncRNA
CACAAAUCUACCUAACUCUAUGGGUACAACACAUAAAUCUACCUAACUCUAUGGGUACAACACAUAAAUCUACCUAACUCUAUGGGUACAACACAUAAAUCUACCUAACUCUAUGGGUACAACACAUAAAUCUACCUGUUGGGCCUGUUUCCCAGAUACAGAUUAAGCCUAAUUCUGGACAAUUUCAAUUUGUUUAACUAGGCAAGUCAGUUAAGAACAAAUUCUUAUUUACAAUGACGGCCUACCGGGAAACAGUGGGUUAACCGCCUUGUUCAAGGGCAGAACGAGAGAUUUUUACCUGGUCAACUCUGGGAUUCGAUCCAGCAACCUUUAGGUUACUAGUCCAAUGUUCUAAUCACUAGGUUACCUGCACCUAAAACACUUUUUCAAUGGAACUUCUCCUCGACAAGGACUGUGUGUCUGGGGAUCCGGUCCUAUAACUAGGACUGUGUGUCUGGGGAUCCGGCCCUAUAACUAGGACUGUGUGUCUGGGGAUCCAGUCCUAUAACUAGGACUGUGUGUCUGGGGAUCCGGCCCUAUAACUAGGACUGUGAGUCUGGGGAUCCGGCCCUAUAACUAGGACUGUGUGUCUGGGGAUCCGGUCCUAUAACUAGGACUGUGUGUCUGGGGAUCCGGUCCUAUAACUAGGACUGUGUGUCUGGGGAUCCGGUCCUAUAACUAGGACUGUGUGUCUGGGGAUCCGGUCCUAUAACUAGGACUGUGUGUCUGGGGAUCCGGUCCUAUAACUAGGACUGUGUGUCUGGGGAUCCGGUCCUAUAACUAGGACUGUGUGUCUGGGGAUCCGGUCCUAUAACUAGGACUGUGUGUCUGGGGAUCCGGUCCUAUAACUAGGACUGUGUGUCUGGGGAUCCGGCCCUAUAACUAGGACUGUGUGUCUGGGAAUCCGGCCCUAUAACUAGGACUGUGUGUCUGGGGAUCCGGUCCUAUAACUAGGACUGUGUGUCUGGGGAUCCGGCCCUAUAACUAGGACUGUGUGUCUGGGGAUCCGGUCCUAUAACUAGGACUGUGUGUCUGGGGAUCCGGCCCUAUAACUAAAAUAACAUAAUCUGGGACUCUGUGCCAUUCAUACAAACUCUGAUAAGGUUAUCGAAUGAAUCAAUAUGGUGUAAGAGUGAAUGAAUCAAUAUGGUGUACGAGUGAAUGAAUCAAUAUGGUGUACGAGUGAAUGAAUCAAUAUGGUGUAAGAGUGAAUGAAUCAAUAUGGUGUAAGAGUGAAUGAAUCAAUAUGGUGUACGAGUGAAUGAAUCAAUAUGGUGUAAGAGUGAAUGAAUCAAUAUGGUGUAUGUAAGAAUGAAUCAAUAUGGUGUAAGAGUGAAUGAAUCAAUAUGGUGUAAGAGUGAAUGAAUCAAUAUGGUGUAAGAGUGAAUGAAUCAAUAUGGUGUACGAGUGAAUGAAUCAAUAUGGUGUAUGUAAGAAUGAAUCAAUAUGGUGUAUGUAAGAAUGAAUCAAUAUGGUGUAAGAAUGAAUUGCGUUUUUUCACUUUUGGUACAGUAUGUUAUGUUGGGCUAUAUGGUCCCUACUUCGUCUAAGGGAAAUGACGAUAUUCAUUUGCCUCGAACUCUAGGACCUGGGUUAGUGUACUGUUGUUGUCUUUACACUGGUUAAUAUCAUAGAGAAAAGCCCCAACUGUCCUGGUGCAAAACAUGGCAAUGAGGUAAAGCAAUAAAAACAUCUUUCCACCACAGAUCAACAAUCAUAAGAGGGAGGGACUACUAAUCUAAUCUCACAGAGCCAGACGAGAGGCUCAGAAUCUGGUAUGAUAAGGUACAGGGCUGCCCAGCCCUCUUCCUAGAGAUCUACUGGUCCUGUAGGUUUUCAGUCCAACCCUCUUCCUGGAGAUCUACUGUCCUGUAGGUUUUCAGUCCAACCCUCUUCCUGGAGAUCUACUGUCCUGUAGGUUUUCAGUCCAACCCUCUUCCUGGAGAUCUACUGUCCUGUAGGUUUUCAGUCCAACCCUCUUCCUGGAGAUCUACUGUCCUGUAGGUUUUCAGUCAAGGUCUGGUACAAUAUAUUAGAACAAACCAACUCUGUAGCAGUAAAGUCUGACAUGCGACAUUAGGAGGCGACAAGAUCUUUGAUACAGUUUGGAACAUCUACUAUGUUUUACUCCAUUGUUGAAGGUUGGGAACGAGGCUUUUCAGAACAACAACAAACUCACUGUCCACAGCACAUCUGAAACUAGACCUACACUUUGUUCAUUAUAAUGGUAAAUUGCUUGGUUCAGACAAAAGGGUGAUUAUUGGGUUACUAAAAGGCAGUAGAACAGAGAUCCUCCAUUUCAGGAGGGGAAAAAACCUACCGAGAUGUCUGUGAAUAACUUUAAAUGCAAAUGGAACCAAUUCUGGGGAUGAUUCCACCAACUAGCUGACAUAUGUUCUGUUCGAUCCCUAGUUAUGAAAAUAACAGGACACGACUUGACAGAUAUCAUCGUCGUCUACAAGCAGUGGUGGGGACAGAUAGAUGAGGAUAGAGGAGAGAGAGAGAGAGAGGGGGGACAGACAGGUCCAGCCUGGAACUGUCUGUAGUUGCCAGUCUCGCCUGUAUCCCCAUACAUCCCUGGAGUUUAGUCCACUGUCUGUUCUCUGCAGAAAUAGUGGCAGAGGUUGAGCUCUUGAUCCAUCUCUGGUCUGAACAGCUGGGCGUGACAAUUGGGAGAUGUUACCCCAAAUCUGGAUGUGUCUCACGUGAAGAGCUGCGGUCUGGACAUUUCCCCACGAAGUCUGGCACUCGUUCACUUCGCAUCUGUUUAGGGAUUUGAGUCACAAAUGAGAGAAUGACAAAGUAUGUAGCUAGUAGCUGGUAGCUAGCUACAUAUCAUUAUGAUAUGGCUGAGAAGACCUUUGUCAAAUGCUGGACAGGUUGUUGCACUGUCAGAGAUGAUCUUGUCUGGAAGCUGGAGAGGCAGC